rnacentral:rRNA from 1 species
UACGUAGGGUGCGAGCGUUGUCCGGAAUUAUUGGGCGUAAAGAGCUUGUAGGCGGUUUGUCGCGUCUGCUGUGAAAUCUCAAGGCUCAACCUUGAGCUUGCAGUGGGUACGGGCAGACUAGAGUGUGGUAGGGGAGACUGGAAUUCCUGGUGUAGCGGUGAAAUGCGCAGAUAUCAGGAGGAACACCAAUGGCGAAGGCAGCUCGCUGGGACGGUAUUGACGCUGAGACGCGAAAGCGUGGGGAGCAAACAGG